rnacentral:rRNA from 1 species
UACGUAGGGUUCGAGCGUUAAUCGGAAUUACUGGGCGUAAAGCGUGCGCAGGCGGUGAUGUAAGACAGGUGUGAAAUCCCCGGGCUUAACCUGGGAACUGCAUUUGUGACUGCAUCGCUGGAGUGCGGCAGAGGGGGAUGGAAUUCCGCGUGUAGCAGUGAAAUGCGUAGAUAUGCGGAGGAACACCGAUGGCGAAGGCAAUCCCCUGGGCCUGCACUGACGCUCAUGCACGAAAGCGUGGGGAGCAAACAGG